UACGUAGGGAGCAAGCGUUGUUCGGAUUUACUGGGCGUAAAGGGCGCGUAGGCGGCGCGGUAAGUCACUUGUGAAAUCUCUGAGCCUAACUCAGAACGGCCAAGUGAUACUGCAGUGCUAGAGUGCAGAAGGGGCAAUCGGAAUUCUUGGUGUAGCGGUGAAAUGCGUAGAUAUCAAGAGGAACACCUGAGGUGAAGACGGGUUGCUGGGCUGACACUGACGCUGAGUGCGCGAAAGCCAGGGGAGCAAACGGG
rnacentral:rRNA from 1 species